rnacentral:lncRNA from 1 species
UUAAGUUUGCGAAUUUCUGAUUCAUCAAUUUUUUUGUUUAUGCUAAUUAAUUACACUAAAUAAAGAGACAAAUUCAAUUGAAUUAGAAUUGAAAAGAAAGAGUUGAAAGUACCUGUGGUGGCUUGUUUGGAAACUUGUUCAGCCAUCUUAAUGACAUCUUCCCAUGUUACUUUGUCAUUGAAGGAAGAAGAAGAAAGAGUUUGAUCCAAAACCUGUAGGGUUUGUUUGGUUUAAUUUGUGAGUUUUUUUUAUUUGUGGUGUUUAAUUUGAGUUUUUUUAUUUUAUUUUUUUAGGUUUUCAUGAGAAAUGUGAAGAAUUUUUAUGGCAUGAUAAGGUUGAAAGAAG